CCGAAUGAUUUUGUCUUUAUGCAAUUUUUUCUGGUCUGGGGUUUUCGAUUUACUUUUCCCAGAUGAGACAAUUUCACCAAGCUGGUUCUGCAAUUAAAAGGGCCCAGGCAGGAUUAGAGCUCCGGCUUUUCUCUGUAAUGGGUUAUGGGUCCAUCACAGCAGUCUCUGCAUAGGGGUUCCGUAUUCCUUAACAGCAAAAAGCCAUCUUCAGGGUGGAAGAUAACUCUUAGUUUAUCUCAAGCCCUCUUCAAAGUUACAGAAAAGCACCUGGUAGACUGCCUGGAAAACAGUUUUGUCAGUAAGAGUUAUGAACCUCAAGUCUAUUGAAGUUCAUCACUUCACAGUUCUAUUUUAUUUGGUAUGUUCCCAAUGCCAAAUCAAACUGUAGGCCUGUCAAUUAUAUAUAUUUCAUCAAAACAAUGUAUUUUUUUUUUUUUAUGUGUUUUGUUUGGCCAUUUGGGGGUUAGUGGGCUGAAGUGGUCGAAAUUAGCGAAACAAAAUAACGAAACAGUGCAUUUUUUGGGCCGAAGUGAGUGAAAUCUUGAAAUGAAAUGACCAAAAUAUGAUUAAAAUGAUUGAAAUUA